CCACCCGGCUUUAGGCACUUCUGGAAGUUGGUGAUGGCCUGCUUAUGUCCGCGCUGGUCGCCAAAACUGUCCAUCAGAUGUGCAAAGGAGUUUCCAAGGCAAAUAACCGCAUCAAAGCCGUCCUUAAUAUGAUCUUUUAUCAAAGGCAGGCUCUUUACGGCGGUUCCAACGCUCCUUAAGAGCGUACUUCAGCAUUUUGUCGGAAGCAUCGACGGACACCAACUCGAACCCUUCUUCCAGAAGCAUGAUUGAAUCGACGCUGAAAGGUAUAGAUUGGUGACACCAACCAUCUGGAAAGUAUGUACAUUCUACUUACCCUGUACCACAAGCCACAUCCAACAGACGCUUGCAGCCUUUCUGGCGGAGGAGGUCAACCAAAAAAUUCUUGUAGUUGUCAGUACGCGAGUUCUUGUCACCGAUGAAAAUCUCCCAAACCUUGGCCGCCUUUCCAUCGGCGUACUGGUCGCGUACUCCUUCAGCUGAAAUACCCUCCGAACGGGCAAGGAAAACACUAUCUGCGGUGGCGGUCAUUUUAAGAGUCAGAGUAUUAGUCAGCACUUCGCAGCAGAUCUUUGUGAACUGAUUUUUCCGGACCGCCGUACUUUCCACGUUAUCUCCGGGGGAUGAGUAUGAAUUUUUAAAUUAAUAGCUAAUAGCUAGCAGAUGGCUUGCUAACUAAGCGCCUCCAAAAGCUGCUUAUCAGCUUCUCUGACGCAAGAAGGUCGUCGCCAACUGCAGGCUUUCGCUUUUGUUUACUAGCAUCUUGGCUUUGACCCCUCUGUGAUAAUUCAAAAUUUUCGCCAACUACACUUCUGUAUUUCAUUUAUAUACUUAUAUACAUAUGUAAUGUAUAUACACAUGUUAUUCUUCCAAAAAUGUCAUUAAGUUGGCACCGAAAAGCUGAAAAAUAAUUGUAUUCAAAUUAUAUGACUUUAAAACAUUCUAAUCGAU